UCGAAGCCUAGAAAGCAUGACCGCGGAUGAGUUUACAAUGGGUGAACGUCGUUGGGCCCUCGGUGUCCAAGGCGGCAACUCCCUCGGCUGGCGAGCAGACUAAUUAUCUGCUCGUCUCCUGAGUUUAACGAACCCCGGCGCGGUCAGCGCCAAGGAAUCAAAACGAAAAAGAACUUGGCCCUCUAUCUCGUUGAUCGGGAUGCGAGGGACUUGUCUGUUCAGAAAUAUCAUAAUGACUCUCGGCAACGGAUAUCUCGGCUCUCGCAUCGAUGAAGAACGUAGCAAAAUGCGAUACUUGGUGUGAAUUGCAGAAUCCCGUGAAUCAUCGAGUCUUUGAACGCAAGUUGCGCCCGAAGCCUUUAGGUUGAGGGCACGUCUGCCUGGGCGUCAUGCAUUGCGAUGCCCCACAUAUGUAUGUGGGGCGAAUCUUGGCCUCCCACAAGUCUAACUUGUGGUUGGCUUAAAAAUGAGCUUCAGGACCGGAAAGCGUCUCGACGAGUGGUGGUUGAAUGGGCCUUGGCCUUUGAACUUAGCGCGUCGAGACCUUUCCACCAUCUAUUGCUGGAAACGACCUUAGCGGAGCGACAUGAUCGCGCUUCAGCAUU
rnacentral:misc_RNA from 1 species